rnacentral:rRNA from 1 species
GCCAACUGCGUGUAGUCGUCUGAGGUAAUACGGGUGGGGCAAGCUGUGGGCGGGAGUAUUGGGGGUAACGAGCUCGUAGGCGGUCUGGUGCGUCGGCUGUGAAAAGCCGGGGCUCAACCCCGGGCCUGCAGUCGAUACGGGCAGACUAGGGUGCGGUAGGGGGGACUGGAAUUCCUGGUGUAGCGGUGAAAUGCGCAGAUAUCAGGAGGAACACCGGUGGCGAAGGCGGGUCUCUGGGCCGUAACUGACGCUGAGGAGCGAAAGCGUGGGGAGCGAACAGGAUUAGAUACCCGAGUAGUC